UUUUCUUUUCUGGUUUUAGCACGAGUCGGAAAACUGUGGCAAGAUGUAGUAUUUUUGGUUGAUUUGAUCCGAGGUGGGUUUUAUUAGCGAUUUGCUAGUAUUUGUUAUGUUAAUUUGUUAAAUCUCACCGGCAUCUCUUUCUUUCCUUCGGGAAUCGCAGAGCAGAAGGCAGAGGGGGGCAAUAAUUGCUUUGAACCACAUCUGCUAUCGAAAAAUAGGCUUUUUGUUGAUAACCCUUGGGCUCUUCGGCAUCACCAUCACCUCCGACAGCGCGAGGAGCAUAUUUGCGUCAGUUAGGGCUCUUUACGGAGCCCAGUAUCUCCGCAAGUCAGAGGAUUUGCUGGGGGUUUCUCUGGUGGUGUAUGCCUAGUUGCCAUUAAGUAUUGCGAGAUUUUGACCUUUCGAUUUUGGGAACUGGCACUUUAUAGCAGCUGGUUGAGAACGUCAGGACCCUUCUGGCCUCCUAACUGCUAGGUUUGGGACUAAAAGUUUCCUCUUCAUAAGCCAAUUUUCUUUUUGUUGGAAAGAAUUAAGUUCUGCUUUUUCCAAG